rnacentral:rRNA from 1 species
AUUGAACGCUGGCGGCAGGCUUAACACAUGCAAGUCGAGCGAGCGGCGGACGGGUGAGUAAUGUCUGGGAAACUGCGUGAUGGCGGGGGAUAACUACUGGAAACGGUAGCUAAUACCGCAUACCAUCAUAUGUGCCCAGAUGGGCUUAGCUAGUAGGUGGGGUAAUUGCUCACCUAGGCGACGAUCCGUAGCUGGUCUGAGAGGAUGACCAUCCGCACUGGAACUUGGACACGGUCCAGACUCCUACGGGAGGCAGCAGUGGGGAAUAUUGCACAAUGGGCGCAAGCCUGAUGCAGCCAUGCGGCGUGUGUGAAGAAGGCCUUCGGGUUGUAAAGCACUUUCAGCGAGGAGGCGUUACUCGCAGAAGAAGCACCGGCUAACUCCGUGCCAGCCGCCGCGGUAAUAC